UACACGACCGUACCGCAAACCGACACUGGUGCGCGAGAUGAGUAUUCUAAGGCGCUUGAGAGAACUCAGGAGAAGGAACUCGGCAAAUUGACACCGUAACUUCGGAAGAAGGUGUGCCUUUAGUAGGUGAACCAUUUACUUGGGGAGCCCAAUGAGGCUGCAAAAAAUCGGUGGCUGCAACUGUUUAUUAAAAACACAGCACUCUGCUAAGACGAAAGUCGACGUAUAGGGUGUGACGCCUGCCCGGUGCUGGAAGAUUAAAUGAUGGGGUGCAAGCUCUUGAUUGAAGUCCCAGUAAACGGCUGCCGUAACGAUAACGGUCCUAAGGUAGCGAAAUUCCUUGUCGGGUAAGUUCCGACCUGCACGAAUGGCGUAAUGAUCGCCACACUGUCUCCUCCUGAGACUCAGCGAAGUUGAAAUGUUUGUGAUGAUGCAAUCUCCCCGCGGAAAGACGGAAAGACCCCAUGAACCUUUACUGUAGCUUUGUAUUGGACUUUGAACAGAUCUGUGUAGGAUAGGUGGGAGGCUUUGAAGUGUGGUCGCUAGAUCGCAUGGAGCCAACGUUGAAAUACCACCCUGGUGUGUUUGAGGUUCUAACCUAGGUCCAUUAUCUGGAUCGGGGACAGUGCAUGGUAGGCAGUUUGACUGGGGCGGUCUCCUCCCAAAGUGUAACGGAGGAGUUCGAAGGUACGCUAGGUACGGUCGGACAUCGUGCUAAUAGUGCAAUGGCAUAAGCGUGCUUAACUGCGAGACUGACAAGUCGAGCAGAUGCGAAAGCAGGACAUAGUGAUCCGGUGGUUCUGUAUGGAAGGGCCAUCGCUCAACGGAUAAAAGGUACUCUGGGGAUAACAGGCUGAUACCGCCCAAGAGUUCAUAUCGACGGCGGUGUUUGGCACCUCGAUGUCGGCUCAUCUCAUCCUGGGGCUGUAGCCGGUCCCAAGGGUAUGGCUGUUCGCCAUUUAAAGAGGUACGUGAGCUGGGUUUAAAACGUCGUGAGACAGUUUGGUCCCUAUCUUCCGUGGGCGCUGCAGAUUUGAGGAAGCCUGCUCCUAGUACGAGAGGACCGGAGUGGACGAACCUCUGGUGUAUCGGUUGUCACGCCAGUGGCAUUGCCGAGUAGCUAAGUUCGGAAGAGAUAACCGCUGAAAGCAUCUAAGCGGGAAACUCGUUUCAAGAUUAGAUCUGCCGGGGCCUUGAGCCCCCUAAAGAGUCGUUCAAGACCAGGACGUUGAUAGGUCAGGUGUGGAAGCG
rnacentral:rRNA from 1 species